rnacentral:rRNA from 1 species
UCCGGAACGCCCCAGCAGCGACUCUAAACAACUGCAUUAGUCGCCCUGAACGGGCUGGCAACGCCGUCACUGUGCGCCGGAAAGUCCCCCGAACUCGGGGUCAACCGGCAGCUCCAGCUUUUUUGGAGUUCACAGAUCAAACGAUAGCGGCCACUUCGGUGGUUGAGAUAUGAACGGCCCCUGCUGUUACCAGCUGGAGACUUUGCGGAACCUGCGGAAGGAUCAUUA